CGGGGUGUAGUUCAGAUGGCUAGAACGUUCGCUUUGGGAGCGAGAGGUCGCAGGUUCGAGUCCUGUCACCCCGA
rnacentral:tRNA from 2 species